rnacentral:lncRNA from 1 species
UUUUUACUUGAGGCCAUGAUUUUUUAAGACACAAGAUUUACACUAGUUAUAAACUUCUAGUAAAUUUGCUUACAUGUAAUCAUUUUCAGAAAGAGGUACUUUGUCUUCAAAGUAAUUCUUAUAUUUUAGAAUCUUUUCAAAAGCCACAUGCUAGGCCUCUUCUGUGUCCUUUGAGCACGAAUUCUUUUUAGAUCUUAUGUUCCUGUAGACAGGCAACAUGUACUUAGUUUCCUCAAUGCCCACUAAAUGCUGGCAGGUUCUCCCUCUCCGAUUGAAAUUUUGAAAUGAGAUGUGUCCCAUUCUCAGCUUGACUGGUAGUGUGUGACACACAUUCCUUCUAAUGUAAACAUGUGAACAAAGUACAACUUCCUACUCUGACAGGUACUUCUGUCAGCGGUCACAUGCACAGUACAUAAUACAUGAAACACAUGCACCCACAGCCCUCCCAUUUAAAAAGCUUUCCUUUAAAUUACAUGAAUUUCAGGUUGUGGUAUACCCUCAACCAUCUCCUCCUAGCUCCUGUUGCUGGGUAACACAUUGGGAGUGACAGUUUUCAGGUGAAAAUAAACAAUUAGUGGAGAUGAGGAAAAGGGCAGGUUAAGGACAACUGGUCUGACUGGCUCAAAAGUCUGCAAAAGACAAACUUUUGCCACUCAGCACAAUCCCUAUAAUUUCCUGAAGUUAGGCAUGAUUUUUAUCAAUGCCUAACUUCAAUCAAUUUUUAAACUUUGUUAGGGAGCUAUUUACCCUGUUCUAGUUCAGAAGCAGAACACGUGCUAUAGAGCCCAAAACUAGUCUCAACCACAUUCAGGAAGUUUGGCACAUGGCACUUGCUUUACAGUGCAACUGCCUGUUUGUCACCUUUACAGAUUUUUAAUGCAACCUGGGAAACGGUAUAUUAGGCCCAAGUAGUCUGCACAUUACCCCAGAAAUGUCAGACCUAACACUUUAAGUAACCACACCAUCAUCCUUUUUAGCGAGAACUGAGAUGAUAGGCUGCACUUGUGCAUUUAAUACGUAUUUUGCUUAAAAGACAAGGCUACUUUUUCACAUCAUUCUCAUGUCAAGCCACAGACUUAUAAAGAACAACUGAUAGCAAUUGUUUUCUCAUUCCCUCAGGGGCUAAUAUUCGUGUAGCUGUCUCUCUUGGUUGGCAUACACCUUGUACUGAAAAAAAGAGCCAUCUGCCUUGCUAUCUAGAAAACAUCGCUUGUCUGAUAUCCCCCUGCCAGCAAGGAAACUGCUCUGAAAAGCCACGUAUAAAGCAGAUUCACUUUUGAAACAUUAUUACACUACCAGAAUCAUACUAAGAUCAUAUACCAUAAUUCAAUUUAAAAUCAGGUCUAAAUUCAAACUUUAUCUUAAGUCUAUGUUCAUUCUGUUUAUGACUAUUCUGAAUCUGAGUGAUUCAAAUAAUAAUAUUAAUGAUACAUUUUAAAACAGAUUGGUUUUAAAAGUCCCUUUUACUCAGUAACAUGCUAUGUCCCAUGGAGGAGCUGGUACUUGAGCCAGUAAGGCUAUAGGUACUCAUUUUUAAGUGAAAAGAAAUGUACCACAGAUUUCAUGGGUUUAAUUUUUCAUUUAUUAUGAGAAGACCAACUUCAAAUUUCUAAGUUAUUCAGAGUUUACUAUAAUCUGUAAUGUUUUAUUAAUUUACAAUUCUUCACAAUCAGCUUUGGUAGCAACAUAAAUUAAGACCUGAAAAAACAUUUGAUGCUAUUCUCUCAUAUGAAAUCAUUUGCAGGACACCAGGUGGCUUCAGUGUUUGAAUGUCUGCCUUUGACUCAGGGCGUGAUCCCAGAGUCCCAGGAUCAAGUCCCACAUCGGGUUUCCUGAAUGGAGCCUGCUUCUCCCUCUGCCUGUGUGUGUGUGUGUGUGUGUGUCUCAUGAAUAAAUAAAAUAUUUUAAAAAAUAAAAUAAAUUAUUGGCUUCAGUAGGAGAUGUAAAAAAGAUUAAGACUAAAUGUUGGUCUCAGAAAGCUGUUCCAUAAUUGAGAAACUUUGAUUUCCUUUUCCACUGGACCAGAAGACCCUAUAUGCCAAGGUUUGGCAAGCUCUUCCUGUAACAUCCAGAUAGUAAAUAUUUUUGGGUCUUGCAAAUCAUAAAAUUUCUGUCACAUCUAUUCAACUCUGCCAUUGUAGAAUGAAAACAGCCAUAGACAAUACAUAAACAACUGAGCAUCGCUGCGUUUCAAUAAAACUUUAUUUACCUUAUUAAAGAGGCAGCAGGAAGCAGCACAGAGAGAGCAAGGAGGUUUAACAAUCUGGACAACACAAUUUCCCAAUAUUAAACAGACUUCUUGACUCUUAUAUGUGAAACAGGGAGCAACAUUUAUAUUGUUUAGUAGCUAUCAAAUUUAAGUGUAAAAGCCAACUUUUAUUCAGCUCUUGCAUGUGUCAAGCACUGAUUGUAAGUGCUUUACAUUAAUUGCUCACUCAAUUCCCAUAACAACCCAGAAAAAUCUGAAAUAAGGUGUUUAGACAUAAAUGAGACGCCAGGUCAUAUCAUGCUGCAUUUCACUUUCACUAGAAGAAAUCUUGAAUAAAAGGGAAGGUAUAUAUGGAAAGGCCCAAAUGGCACAUGCUUUGGAUUCAAAUAACAGACUCUACAAGUCCUCAAGAGUUCUCAGUGUAGUUGUCUGCUAUUACUCUCACUGGUUAGCCCUUUAGCUCCACCAUCCCAUAACCCAAACCUUUCCAUGACAACUUUAUAUCUCAAAUUAUCAAUUUAACUCAAUGCCCUCUAACCUAUGCUGCCUGUUGUUCUUCAAUACCAUCAAAACUGGGUGGAAAUAUGGUAGUAAAGAUAUCAGAUUUGCAAUCCCCCUGAUAAAAUUUGGAACUGAAAUGCUUCCUACAAAAUUUUUAAAUGUUUAAACAGUAGCCUAGCAGGAAGACGAGUAACUUUGAUGUCAAUAGCAGAUACACAGAACAUUCUUUCAGGAAAGCAGCUUAGGAACACUUUCUUCUCUCAGUAAUGCCUAAAAAUGAUCAGCCUUAUAGAAGUGAUUCAGAAAUAUUUAACUAAAUUUUACAUAUUUUAUCUGUUUCAUACUUUUUUUUUUUACUCACAGAUGCCCUUAUUAUUAAGUUUACUUUUAGUUGAGGAUAACAAUAUACUUGCAAAAAUGUGACAGGACUCCUUCCUGCUGCAGAUCAUUUUCUCUUAGAAUUAUCACUUAGCUAGUGACAACAGAUCUGAUGAUGUGAUAGUAUCACUGUUUAAUGGUCUUUCUGCAAUGUUCAUCCUCAAAGGGAAUAUUGUUAGCAGCAGCAUCCAAUAAAUAGAAAUUUAACCAUGUUCUAGUUAUUCUAAUUUUCCAAGAAAAAAACAUUUUCCUAUCUACUCUUUUUAUGCUGUAAUAAUAGUGUACAUUAAAAGUAAAGUAAAUAAAACCUAAUCAUCAUCAUCCAAACAAUGUAAUGAUUUCCCAGGAGGUACAUGACUCAAUUACCCAACUUUAUAGUUAAUGGGAGUGAUAUUAAAUUCAAAGAACAGCAAGGAAGUAGGCAGUUAAACAAGUCAAAGGGCUGUUAAAAUAUAAUGGUCUAGAACAGGGGUUGGCAGACUAUGCCCCAUGACCCAUAUCUGCCCGCUCUCUCUCCCCAAUUUGCCUGUUUUCAUAAAUAAUAUUUUAUUGGAACACAGCCAUGUCUGUUCAUUUACAUAAUGUUGAUUUUAUGUUCCAACAACAAAUGUGAAUCAUUGUGGCAAACAUCAUAUGUCCUGCAGAGUCUAAAAUAUUUACUUUUGGCCCUUUCCAAGAAAAGAAUGAAAACCUCUAGUCUAGACAAGGGAUCCAAGAACACAGACUAUGGAAAGUAAUUACAAAGAAAACAGGGGCAUGAAUGCAGUUCUACAAAUGACAAGUUUAGGAUAGAUGAAAAGCCAGUCGUGGCAUCUGUGAUUCUGUGGUAUAAGGUGAAAAAAUUCAUCAACACAGGACCCAGAAUAAUGCACUGUAAGCACGAGCUGGUUUGAAAUACAGCCCCAAAGGUGAGCAGCUAGAGAAUGCAAACAUGCAAAGUAAUUCUUGACUUCUUUACCCCAUCUACGUAGAGCAUACACAUAAAGAUCGAGAGCAUAUGAAAUUACAACUAUAAAAAAGGUUCAUUUUAAAUAACGUGUCCACCCAAAAAACAAACCAGAAGACAAAUGGCAAACCAGGAUAUAACAAUUCAUUUCCUGAGGGGAUAAUAUUCCUUUCUCUUUAAAAAUCCAGAAAGUGGGGAUCCCUAGGUGGCUCAGCGGUUUGGUGCCUGCCUUCGGCCCAGGGCAUGAUCCUGGAGUCCCACGUGGGACUCCCUGCAUGGAGCCUGCUUCUCCCCUGUCUGUGUCUCUGCCUCUCUCUCUGUGUAUCUCUCAUGAAUAAAUAAAUAAAAACUUUAAAAAGAAAAUCCAGAAAGUACCACAACCCUGGUAAGAAAAAUAGGCAAAAGACAGGAACCAACAGCUGACAGAAGAGAAAGCACAGACAUUUUAAGAUGCUCCACUAUACUCAUAAGAGGAAUGUAAAUUAAAACUACACUGAGACACUACUUUCCACCUAUCUGGCAAAAAUCCACUCUCUUGGCAAGGUUGAAAAGAAACUGAAAAAUCACCAACACUGUUGAAGUAAAAUUCCUGUAAACGGUGAAUUUUGAAACAUCUAAUAAAAUUACAUAUGCAAAAUUACACAGUACUUAUGCAGGUAUAAAAGGUGCCUGGAUGGCUCAGUCAGUUAAGCAUCUGCCUUUGGCUCAGGUCACGAUCCUGGGGUCCUGGGACCAAGUCCCAUGUCUGGCUCCCUGCUCAGUGAGGAGCCUCCUUCUCCCUCUCCCUCUGCCUGCCACUCCCCCUGCUUGUGUUCUCUGCCAAAUAAAUAAAAUCUUUAAAAAGGAGGAGAAGGAGGAAGAUCUCUCAAUGUCUAUGUACUAUUACAGAGCAAUAUCCAAGAUCUAUUGUGAAAUUUUUAAAAAGUGGUGAACAGAGAAUAUAGAAUAUUCUUUUGUAUGAGAAAUAUAAAAAAUAUGAGAAAAUAUGUAUUUAUUCUUAUUUUUACAAAAAAAUUAAAAUAAAGGAAUACUAGGAAGGAGUGAAGGGGUUGGAGAUGAAGUGAGAACUAUCUAAAGAUAACUUUUUACUUAAUUUUGACUUUUGAACCUAAAAAUGUACAUAUGUGUGUAUACAUUUGUAUAUUAUAUAUACACAUAUAUCAAUAUCUAUGUAUAUGCAGAUUCAUAAACAUACAAAGAAAAAAUGCAGAGGUAAAGAAAUGGAAAUGAGCCAAUAUUUACAAGAAAUGGGUAAAAUAUCUACAGAGAGUUGUUUCAAGAAACAUUUACACUCACUACUGUGUACAUCCUUUGUAGUAUAUACUGAAAGUACUCCUUUAAAAAAAAACGGCAAAAAUAUCUUGAACUUUAGUGGUUUUAAUAUUGUAUCAUUUUAAAACAUGAAUGUAUACUGUAAGUUAAGCAAACCAGAAUUUUCAGGAAAAGAAAAGGGAUAGAAAUAUAAAGCGAAAGAAGGGAGGAAAAAUCUGCUAACUUCAAAAUACAAACCAAACUCAAUUUCCUAGCUCUGACCAUGAAAAGAAUUCUACUCCUAUUGCAUAGCAUCCAUAUCUUGGUUUCUGAAUAUCCCAUCCCUCUAAAAGAAACCAGGGCUUCCUGGAGAGAAUGCUGGCUUCAGGUCUUAAAGUAUAAGAUAAAAAGUGACAUAUCGCAAUUGAAAAUGAAUGACAUACUUAAAGCCUUAAAGGUUUCUAACAUCAAGAGGCAUUUCCAUCACCACCUUACUCUAGCAAUCUACUCCUAUAUAAGUUACUCCAGUUCAUUUUCUGCCUUCUUCAGUUGCACUGGCUUUAGAUUUACAAUGCAGCUUUGUGGUCUUUUAUCAGCAAGGUCACAGGAAAUAAGAAUACACAAAACUUUUAUAUGCUAGUAAUGGACAAAAAAUUAAAAAUACUAUUUUCAAAUGUCCCAAAAUUAAAUACUUAAUUUACAGGCCUUAUAUGCCAAAAACUAAAAAAAAAAAAAAAAAAAAAAAAAAA